UACGAAGGGGGCUAGCGUUGCUCGGAAUCACUGGGCGUAAAGCGCACGUAGGCGGAUUGUUAAGUCAGGGGUGAAAUCCUGGAGCUCAACUCCAGAACUGCCUUUGAUACUGGCGAUCUCGAGUCCGGGAGAGGUGAGUGGAACUGCGAGUGUAGAGGUGAAAUUCGUAGAUAUUCGCAAGAACACCAGUGGCGAAGGCGCUCACUGGCCCGGUACUGACGCUGAGGUGCGAAAGCGUGGGGAGCAAACAGG
rnacentral:rRNA from 1 species